rnacentral:rRNA from 1 species
AAGCUCGUAGUUGAAUUUCGGGAUCAAUGCGUCGGUCGUGCCUUCGGUACGUACUAGCGUCAUUGAUUCCUCCCUUCUGAAGAACCGUGAUGUCAUUAAUUUGGUGUUACGGGGAAUCAGGACUGUUACCUUGAAAAAAUUAGAGUGUUUAAAGCAGGCUAACGCUUGAAUACAUUAGCAUGGAAUAAUGAAAUAGAACGUUUGAUUCUAUUUUGUUUGGUUUCUAGGAUCGACGUAAUGAUUAAUAGGGAUAGUUGGG